rnacentral:rRNA from 1 species
GAUGAACGCUGGCGGAAUGCUUUACACAUGCAAGUCGAACGGCAGCACGGACUUCGGUCUGGUGGCGAGUGGCGAACGGGUGAGUAAUGUAUCGGAACGUGCCCAGUCGUGGGGGAUAACGUAGCGAAAAUUACGCUAAUACCGCAUACGAUCUAUGGAUGAAAGCGGGGGAUCGCAAGACCUCGCGCGAUUGGAGCGGCCGAUAUCAGAUUAGGUAGUUGGUGGGGUAAAGGCCCACCAAGCCAACGAUCUGUAGCUGGUCUGAGAGGACGACCAGGCAGACUGGAACUGAGACACGGUCCAGACUCCUACGGGAGGCAGCAGUGGGGAAUUUUGGACAAUGGGCGAAAGCCUGAUCCAGCCAUUCCGCGUGCAGGAUGAGGGCCCUCGGGUUGUAAACUGCUUUUGUACAGAACGAAAAGGUUUCUACUAAUACUAGGAGCUCAUGACGGUACUGUAAGAAUAAGCACCGGCUAACUACGUGCCAGCAGCCGCGGUAA